rnacentral:misc_RNA from 1 species
AACUCGCGUCUGCUGCGCUGCCGGAGCGGUUUGUGGGGCAGCAUCGGCACACCCGUGGGACAUCUGACUGUGCGGAGAGACCCACUCCUCCGUUCGUACCCCCUUUUCGCGCCUUUCUUCACACGCUGCGUCCCCCCCCCCAUGCCAGCUCCUGAAGACGCGGCCUCGGCGCCCACUGCCAAGCCGCGGCGGAGCGUUGCCAACUACACGGAGCCGCCCAAGAAGAAUCCGUACCUCGUGAAGUUCUCUCGCUUUUACAGCACAAAGAUACCGAUGGGUGUCCGCGAGUUUGUCUUCACCGGCCCGCUGCUUCUCAUCACAUUUGGCGUUGCCUACUUUAUCCCCUCUCUCAUUCCAGCGGAGCAGUUGACACAGGGGCUGACUCCGCACAAGCAGGACAUGCGCGAGUACACGUUAGAGCCCAUCUACGGUGCCCGCGGUGAGCUGAAGGGCUACCGUCGCAUCAACACCAAGAAGAGCGCGGAGGAGUGAGUGAGCGCCAAGCCAUCCGUAUCGUAGGGAAGGGGCGCACGAGGAUGGUGACCGCCUUCCACCUUCGACUUCUGCCGCACGCUGCCGUGCACAAACGGCAUGCGUACGAGUCUCGAGUGAGAUUGCCACAAGCCGAGCACACUGCUCUUCCUCAUGGAGGCGGCAGAGCCCUUUUCGUGCUUAUCCGCCUUUACCGUGCCCCCUCUCCUGAACCUCCUGCGGUGAGAGGGGGCGCAUCGCAGCCAACAACAUUGUUCUCCACAGACCCCGCCGCAGACGAAAAAGACAAAAGAAACAUGGCCGGUGCCCUAGUUUUUGGAGAGGCACGUGACCGCGGCAUCCUGCUGCAAGAGCCUCGCUGAUGCGGGGCAUAUCCUGUACCCGAUCACCGCCCCAUUCAACAUAGUUGCGCACCACACACUCUGCUUUGCACUGCGCGGCGCGUUUUUCCAUCGCCUCCGACACCAUGUGUGCUGCUCAACGGGAAGCAUUCAGCCAUGACAGUUUGCCCCCUCCUCCCAUGACACUCGUCUUCUCUUCCUCCGAUCUUUACGGUGUUCUUGCACGUACACGCCCACGUCACAAUUUCCUCCCUACCUCACCCCACGCGUGUGUCGGCGCGCACACACAACUCCGCUUGGUCGGUCUUUUUCCUCACCAG